rnacentral:rRNA from 1 species
AGUGAACGCUGGCGGUAGGCCUAACACAUGCAAGUCGAACGGCAGCACAGUAAGAGCUUGCUCUUACGGGUGGCGAGUGGCGGACGGGUGAGGAAUACAUCGGAAUCUACUUUUUCGUGGGGGAUAACGUAGGGAAACUUACGCUAAUACCGCAUACGACCUACGGGUGAAAGCAGGGGAUCUUCGUACCUUGCGCGAUUGAAUGAGCCGAUGUCGGAUUAGCUAGUUGGCGGGGUAAAGGCCCACCAAGGCGACGAUCCGUAGCUGGUCUGAGAGGAUGAUCAGCCACACUGGAACUGAGACACGGUCCAGACUCCUACGGGAGGCAGCAGUGGGGAAUAUUGGACAAUGGGCGCAAGCCUGAUCCAGCCAUACCGCGUGGGUGAAGAAGGCCUUCGGGUUGUAAAGCCCUUUUGUUGGGAAAGAAAAGCAGCAGGUUAAUACCCCACUGUUCUGACGGUACCCAAAGAAUAAGCACCGGCUAACUUCGUG